GGUGAAAUGCGUAGAGAUCAGAAGGAACACCAAUGGCGAAGGCAACAUUCUGGACCGAUACAGACACUGAGGGACGAAAGCGUGGGGAUCAAACAGGAUUAGAUACCCUGGUAGUCCACGCUGUAAACGAUGAGAACUAGCUGUUGGAGUCGGUGUAAAGGCUCUAGUGGCGCAGCUAACUCGAUAAGUACUCCUCCUGGGGACUACGGCCGCAAGGCUAAAACUCAAAGG
rnacentral:rRNA from 1 species